GCGCGAAACCUCUGCAAUGCGGGAAACCGUGACAGGGGGAUCCCAAGUGCUCAUGCAUUGCAUGGGCUGUUCUUUGGUCUAAGUAACCAGAGGAGUAAGGGCUGGGCAAGACCGGUGCCAGCCGCCGCGGUAAUACCGGCAGCUCAAGUGGUAGCCGCGAUUAUUGGGCCUAAAACGUUCGUAGCCGGAUAAGUAAGUCUUUGGUUAAACCCUGCGACUUAACCGUGGGAAAUCUAGAGAUACUGCUUGUCUUGAGACCGGGAGAGGGUGGAGGUACUCCCAGGGUAGGGGUGCAAUCCUGUAAUCGUGGGGGGACCACAUGUGGCGAAGGCGUCCAACUGGAACGGGUCUGACGGUGAGGGACGAAACCUAGGGGAGCGAGCCG
rnacentral:rRNA from 1 species